rnacentral:rRNA from 1 species
CAGUAGCCACGGGAAUACGGAGGGUGCAAGCGUUAAUCGGAAUUACUGGGCGUAAAGCGCACGCAGGCGGUCUGACAAGUCAGAUGUGAAAUCCCCGGGCUUAACCUGGGAACUGCAUUUGAAACUGUCAAGCUAGAGUCUUGUAGAGGGGGGUAGAAUUCCAGGUGUAGCGGUGAAAUGCGUAGAGAUCUGGAGGAAUACCGAUGGCGAAGGCGGCCCCCUGGACAAAGACUGACGCUCAGGUGCGAAAGCGUGGGGAGCAAACAGGAUUAGAGACCCGUGUAGUCCCUGUCUCUUAUAC